AUCUUGGUAUAGCUCAGUCGGUAGAGCAUGAGACUUUUAAUCUCAAGCGUUUGAGCCCCACCUUGGGCA